GUGCUCGCUUCGGCAGCACAUAUACUAAAUUUGGAACGAUACAGAGAAGAUUAGUAUGGCCCCUGCGCAGGGAUGACAUGUGAAUUCGUGAAGCAUUCCAUAUUUUU
ensembl:snRNA U6 U6 spliceosomal RNA